UCACACCCGCCUCACUCCUCACGACUGCCUCAGUCCUCUUCCGCCUCAGUCCUCACCCGCCGUUUCCAUCUCCAUCGAUCUGGAAAAGAUUGAGAUUGAAAAGCCUUUCUGAACAAACGACCCAUCUCCAUCUUCAUCUCCAUCUCCAUCUCCAUUGCAGUUUCAGCCUUUCUGGAUUUUGAUUUUGGGGGGCGGACGGGACCGUUUCAGCUUUCCUCAAUAUCAACGACCCACUCCAUCUCCAUCUCCAUCCUUGAUUCAAUUCAUUUGGCGAUUCCAUGACGUAAUAAUAGAUAUCAUAAGGAAGGCAACAACAAACUACGAGAUUCUGGCCAUUUAAAUUCAGAAAAGGCUUAUUGAAACCAGAAUCGAGUCGGAGCAAACCCAAAGAAAUCUAAGGAUGCUCAACACAGGGGGAGACAAGAUUAUAGAAGAUGUUGUACCAUUUUCGUUUCAAAAAAUUGUUGCAACAAAUCUUGCAACAGAUCUAACAACAGUCGGCGCUGAAGACGUGAAAGGGAGUUCCUAACUUCUUACUGUUUUUUUAAAGAUGAUCAGAUUAGC